AAAAAGAUAAGCUAAUUAAGCUAUUAGGUUCAUACCCUGAAUAUAGAAGCAAUUUAACCUUCUUCUUUUUA
rnacentral:tRNA from 1 species